rnacentral:rRNA from 1 species
UGGGGAAUAUUGCGCAAUGGGCGAAAGCCUGACGCAGCAACACCGCGUGAGGGAUGACGGCCUUCGGGUUGUAAACCUCUUUCAGCUCCGACGAAGCGAAAGUGACGGUAGGAGCAGAAGAAGCACCGGCUAACUACGUGCCAGCAGCCGCGGUAAUACGUAGGGUGCAAGCGUUGUCCGGAAUUAUUGGGCGUAAAGAGCUCGUAGGCGGUCCGUUGCGUCUGCCGUGAAAACCCGGAGCUCAACUCCGGGCCUGCGGUGGAUACGGGCGGACUAGAGUCCGGUAGGGGAGACUGGAAUUCCUGGUGUAGCGGUGGAAUGCGCAGAUAUCAGGAGGAACACCGGUGGCGAAGGCGGGUCUCUGGGCCGGAACUGACGCUGAGGAGCGAAAGCGUGGGGAGCGAACAGGGAUUUAGAUACCCCUGGGUAGUCCACGCCGUAAACGAUGAGUGCUAGAUGUUGGGAUUUUCGGAUUUCAGUGUCGCAGCUAACGCAUUAAGCACUCCGCCUGGGGAGU